rnacentral:rRNA from 1 species
UACAGAGGUCCCAAGCGUUGUUCGGAUUCAUUGGGCGUAAAGGGUGCGUAGGUGGCAGGGUAAGUUGGAUGUGAAAUCCCGGGGCUCAACCCCGGAACUGCAUUCAAUACUGCCCUGCUAGAGUACUGGAGAGGAGACUGGAAUUCCUGGUGUAGCAGUGAAAUGCGUAGAUAUCAGGAGGAACACCGAUGGCGAAGGCAGGUCUCUGGGCUGACACUGACGCUCAUGCACGAAAGCGUGGGGAGCAAACAGG